CCAGACUCCUACGGGAGGCAGCAGUGAGGAAUAUUGGUCAAUGGGCGCGAGCCUGAACCAGCCAAGUCGCGUGAGGGAUGACGGCCCUACGGGUUGUAAACCUCUUUUGCCGGGGAGCAACGGGCGCCACGUGUGGCGCCACUGAGAGUACCCGGAGAAAAAGCAUCGGCUAACUCCGUGCCAGCAGCCGCGGUAAUACGGAGGAUGCGAGCGUUAUCCGGAUUUAUUGGGUUUAAAGGGUGCGUAGGCGGAUCGUUAAUGCAGGGGUCAAAUGGGGGGGCUCACCCCCUCCCCGCCAUUGAAACUGGCGUUCUUGAGUGGAAGAGAAGUAUGCGGAAUGCGUGGUGUAGCGGUGAAAUGCAUAGAUAUCACGCAGAACCCCGAUUGCGAAGGCAGCAUACCGGCGCGCAACUGACGCUCAUGCACGAAAGCGUGGGUAUCGAACAGGAUUAGAUACCCCCGUACG
rnacentral:rRNA from 1 species